GUUACAGCCGCCGCGGUAAUACGUAGGGGGCAAGCGUUGUCCGGAAUCAUUGGGCGUAAAGAGCGCGUAGGCGGCCCGGUAAGUCCGCUGUAAAAGUCCAGGGCUCAACCCUGGAAAGCCGGUGGAUACUGUCGGGCUCGAGUCCGGAAGAGGCGAGUGGAAUUCCUGGUGUAGCGGUGGAAUGCGCAGAUAUCAGGAGGAACACCGAUAGCGAAGGCAGCUCGCUGGGACGGUACUGACGCUGAGGCGCGAAAGCGUGGGGAGCAAACAGGAUUAGAAACCCUCGUAGUCC
rnacentral:rRNA from 1 species